rnacentral:rRNA from 1 species
ACGGGGGGUGUAAGCGUUGUUCGGAAUUACUGGGCGUAAAGGGCGUGCAGGCGGUCUGUGCAAGUUGAAUGUGAAAUCCCUGAGCUUAACUCAGGACGUGCGUUCAAGACUGCGAGACUUGAAUACGGGAGAGGGUCGUGGAAUUCCUGGUGUAGAGGUGAAAUUCGUAGAGAUCAGGAGGAACACUCGUGGCGAAGGCGACGACCUGGACCGAUAUUGACGCUGAGACGCGAAAGCGUGGGUAGCAAACAG